UGAAACUGCGAAUGGCUCAUUAAAUCAGUUAUAGUUUAUCUGAUAGUACCUUACUACUUGGAUAACCGUGGUAAUUCUAGAGCUAAUACAUGCUAAAAACCUCGACUUCGGAAGGGGUGUAUUUAUUAGAUAAAAAACCAAUGC
rnacentral:rRNA from 1 species